AUACGGAGGGUGCGAGCGUUGUUCGGAAUUAUUGGGCGUAAAGAGCAUGUAGGCGGUCUGUUAAGUCUGGUGUGAAAGCCCGGGGCUCAACCCCGGAAGUGCAUUGGAUACUGGCAGACUUGAGUAUGGGAGAGGAAAGCGGAAUUCCGAGUGUAGGAGUGAAAUCCGUAGAUAUUCGGAGGAACACCAGUGGCGAGGGCGGCUUUCUGGACCAAUACUGACGCUGAGAUGCGAAAGCGUGGGGAGCGAACAGGAUUAGAAACCCCAGUAGUCC
rnacentral:rRNA from 1 species